UGCAAUCUGUGAUGCAACUAUUCCCAUUACAUGAAUCACUGUGAUUAUUAUGAAAAAAAUCACCAUCUUUCGGCUGAGAUUGCA
rnacentral:snoRNA from 1 species